AUGUUGGGAAAUGUGUCCCAAAAAGCCAAUCGUCAAGCUGUUGACGGUUGAGCAACCAAGUAUUGUAAUUGAUUUGUUAAUAAAUAAAAUAUAUUUGGCAUCUUCAUCAUAAGCUUUCAUCUUUUAAUGAACUCCGUUGUUAUGAUGAAGUCCUUAGGGCUAUUUAAGUUCGAUAAAGAGAGGAUUUAUUGAUUAGUCCUUAAAACUGUUCACGACCAAAUGAUAGGCUGUUAAUAAGGACGACAGCUUCUAUCGAGCAUAGGUCGCUGUAGGCCAUAUGGGUUGGUUGUCAUCUUAACCAAGAAGUGUGGAGACACUGGUAUGGCAUACAGGUGAGAUGUAAGGGUACAUCAUCAUUGAACGUGACCAANNNNNNNNNNNNNNNNNNNNGGCGUCCCUUAACUUGCCAUGUUUGGAUAAGCCUUGACUAGGUGUUUGACCUAGACAAGGACUCUAUCAUAUCUCUCUAUAUAAGAUGAGUUUCUUCAUGAAAUUUUAGAUAAAGUCAGAGAUUUGAGAGAACUUUGUUCCAUCCAAAAAUUAGAGAGAAAUACCUUUGGGUCGUGGAGAUAUAAAAGAUGCAAGUUUGGGUGUCUAGAG
rnacentral:lncRNA from 1 species